rnacentral:rRNA from 1 species
UACGAAGGGGGCUAGCGUUGCUCGGAAUCACUGGGCGUAAAGCGCACGUAGGCGGAUUCUUAAGUCAGGGGUGAAAUCCUGGAGCUCAACUCCAGAACUGCCUUUGAUACUGAGGGUCUUGAGUUCGGGAGAGGUGAGUGGAACUGCGAGUAUAGAGGUGAAAUUCGUAGAUAUUCGCAAGAACACCAGUGGCGAAGGCGGCUCACUGGCCCGAGUACUGACGCUGAGGUGCGAAAGCGUGGGGAGCAAACAGG